rnacentral:snRNA from 1 species
AAAAAGGGCUUCUGCUGUGCGUGGCACCGGGGGGUCCCGCGGCUGCCCCUGUGGAAUCAGCAUCAAGAGAUUUUGGAAGCACAAUUUUUGUGGUGGGUGGUUGAGUCACCAUC